GAUGAACGCUGGCGGCGUGCCUAAUACAUGCAAGUCGAGCGAACAGACGAGGAGCUUGCUCCUCUGACGUUAGCGGCGGACGGGUGAGUAACACGUGGAUAACCUACCUAUAAGACUGGGAUAACUUCGGGAAACCGGAGCUAAUACCGGAUAAUAUAUUGAACCGCAUGGUUCAAUAGUGAAAGACGGUUUUGCUGUCACUUAUAGAUGGAUCCGCGCCGCAUUAGCUAGUUGGUAAGGUAACGGCUUACCAAGGCAACGAUGCGUAGCCGACCUGAGAGGGUGAUCGGCCACACUGGAACUGAGACACGGUCCAGACUCCUACGGGAGGCAGCAGUAGGGAAUCUUCCGCAAUGGGCGAAAGCCUGACGGAGCAACGCCGCGUGAGUGAUGAAGGUCUUCGGAUCGUAAAACUCUGUUAUUAGGGAAGAACAAAUGUGUAAAUAACUAUGCACGUCUUGACGGUACCUAAUCAGAAAGCCACGGCUAGCUACGUG
rnacentral:rRNA from 1 species